UUUCAUCUUCAGAUCUCAAAAGCUGCUUUGAAGCUAUCAAUUAAGCUUCCUGUUGUCUGUUUUUGAGAUCCGUGGGGGAGGAAACUGAGGCACAGGAACCGGGAAUCAAGAAAUGAGCCCUAUGUUUUUCUCAAUGUUUGUCCUGUGUAUGGGCAGUGGGCUAUGUCCUCAGGUCAAAUGUCAGUGAUGCAAAUUGUCAGUUGAUUCAUGGGUGUGAAGUGCCUGAGCACGCCAGUUGUGGUGGUGAUGGUGAAAGUGUCACAAGGCAGGUUAUAUUUCAUCACCUGAAUGGGUAAAACAGCACUAUCGGGACGGUACAUCUUCGUGUGCCUUGCAAUGUAGCGCAGAUAAAUGCGUGCAGAAGUGAGGAUUCCCAUGUGCCGUGUAAGUGGCAGGUGGUUUGCAUGAGAUAACAACAGCAAUUAUAAUUAAUGAGACAAUGCUUGAUAUCUGGAGUGUGAUUUUAGUGACCCAGGACAAAAUACCAGUGCUUGGAGCUCCUGAUCAGUGGUAGACCUGCCUGCAGUAUCAGAACUCCGAAAUUUGGGAGCCUGUAAUUUCAGAGCAAAGGUUUGCACGAUCAUGUCUGUGAUUCUUGGUACUGUAUGUAUACCGUAUACUUACAGCGAAGAUAAAAAUCAGUUCAGAAGUUUGGUGGGCGUGGGAAGGGUGUAGGAGGAGGCAGAGAAACAUGCUUGGGGAAGAGCAAGGGAGUCGUGUUGGCUGGAGCGAGCGAGCCCUGUGGCACCAGGCAGUGCUUCCCACAACGGGCAGCAUUGCACCAGUAACUCUGCAGCCUUUGUGCAUGUGCUGCAGCAUCGAGACAGGGACAGAAUCCCUCUGGUAAGGAUCCCAGACACUACCCCCUGUCUCCCGUGUCUGUCGGCAGCCAGGAAACCCUGCUCCUCUGCAGCCCUGCUAGCAGUACAGCUCUUGUUUCAGCCGUGUCCUGGGCUCUGCCAGUGGACAAGGCAUCUCCAGCUACAUGCUUCUCAGUUGUCCCAGCCCUCUUGAGAGGGAAACAUGCAGGGCCCAGAGGCCCCAUGUGGCACCUCCUCUGCCAGUGCUCAUCUACUGCAGUGGACAUGAUCUUGUUGAUCUUCCGUGGCCUUUACUCCAUUAGUAAUCUGCCGGGAUGCUGUGGUCACCUUCCCCAGGGCACAUACACAGGCACGAGAAGACAUGAUUCAUGGGUGAGGCAUGCGUAGCUCUGAUUUCUGUUCCUUGGCUCAGCCAAGCAAAGCCCUUGGGCUUCCAGCAGACUCCUUGAGAAGGAGCUCUGUGCUGCUCAGGUGUCCCUCUGGAACGGUGGUGUCUGGAGCCCACUGGGGCGACAAGUCAGCCUGUGGUCUUUGCCAUUUUUUGGACCUUUGGACCUUUGUAAGGUCCUGAAGAUGUGUGGUGACAGCCAUGCCAGCCUCCGCUGCCCGGAGGCUCUGCUGGCUCAUGUUCCUGUCUUUGUGUCCUCUUGCCUGACCACUUCCUCUUGCUGGGAGUGAGCGAUCCUUUGGGUAGCAGUUGCAGAAAUAGUUUCAGAAACAGAAAUAGCUAAUAACGUCACCUCAAAGCACCCAGCCCCUCAUGCUCUAGCUUCCUGUCAGCUGCAGCAGUCGGUGGUGCUCCUCACAGCAGCCUCGUCCAAGGCCACAGCCUGAAUCAACGCUGAGUGUCCUCGCGCCAGUCCUGCAGCGCUGACCCAGGGCAGGGAGCGAUGGAGUCAGGGCUGUGGGGCAGGAGACUCCGUGCUGGAUCCUGUCCUGUGCUGCCCACCUGUCAGUACCAUCCACCGGUCUUUGCAUGGUGAUCUCCAAAGGCAACGUCUCUCAGAGUGCUGUGGCCUUCUGCAAGCAAUUUGCUGGUGAAGUACCAAAAGCUGCAGCUCAGCUUUUGCCUUCCAACCAGCCCCCUGGUCUCCCCAAGCCUUCAAAGCGGUUUCCUAGUCCAGGACAUGCUGCAGCUCUCUGCUGCCCUCGCCCUGCCUCAGCCGUAACAGGACUUGCAUGCCUCCUGCUGCCCACCUCCCCCGGAGGGUUUCCCAGCCCCAGAUCCCCCCCAGCAGCUUCCCCAGCACAUGGGCAGGCGGCAGCAGCUCGGGCAGGUCCCUGCCCCGAGCCCCAGCUGUCUUUGCCCUCACUGCAGGGAACGUCCCAACAGCUUCUUGGCUGCUCUCCCAGUCUUCCAGUUCACCUUUCCGCUGGUUUUCAGACUGCUGGCUGGUUUUCUACGUGUCUGUUCUGCUCCUCCCUCUACUCCUGCGCUCUUGCUUCAUACCUUUAGGUGCGGGUGGGGUGGGUUAACAUAAAAAAGCCGGUUGUUUUUUAAUCAAUGAGAGGUUAGAUGUUAUCUGGCCCUGCUAAGUGUGUCCUCUCUGCCUCAGGCCAUUGCUGAGGCCUCUACUUUUGCUUCCCCAGUAAUCAGUGACACAAGACUCCCUUUCCAUCACUCCCCAGUCCCGGGGUUUGUCUAGCUAUACCCCAAUUAUUUUGGAAAUUAUAAGAGCAUCUCAACAAAAACA